UGUCAGGUGUGUUAUGUGAUGAGAGUCUCUGCUAGGAUGAAGGGCAAAGUUUAUAAAACAGUGGUGAGGCCAGCCAUGACGUACUGAUUAGAGUCAGUGGCACUGAAGAGACAACAGGAAGCAGAGCUAGAGGUGGCAGAAAUAAAGAUGUUGAGGUUCGCUCUCGGCGUGACCAGGUUGGAUAAAAUUAGAAAUGAGCUCAUCAGAGGGACAGCCAAGGUUCGAUGUUUUGGAGAGAAAGUUAGAGAGAGCAGACUUCGAUGGUUUGGACACGUCCAGAGGAGAGAGAGUGAGUAUAUUGGUAGAAGGAUGAUGAGGAUGGAGAUGCCAGUCAAGAGAGCUAGAGGAAGACCAAAGAGAAGGUUGAUGGAUGUCGUGGGGGAAGACAUGAGGGCAGUUGGUGUUCGAGAGGAGGAUGCAGGAGAUAGGCUUACAUGGAAAAGGAUGACAAGCAGUGGCGACCCCUAACGGGACAAGCCGAAAGGAAAAGAAGAAGAAAAUCUCCAACUGGCUGUGUGUGUGGAAUUACACCCUAGGAUCCAAGCAGGCCAGGCACACAGAAAAGAAAACAGCUGUCAGACAAUGAAUUACUGUUCUGUGACCAGACAAGUGCUUCUCUGAGGAUUGGAUGAGGAAGCUGGAAGCUGGAGAAGGUCUGCACACGCAGCUCCUUUUGGCAGAAGCGUGGCUUUGCAGUACAAACAGUGCACAUCCUCAGACUGACCUCUGUGAACCGAGCCGGCGGCUCCACACACAGAUCCCAGAGCCUGGAAAUCUCAAUGCAGCCUCUCACACACGACUGUGAGCGACUGAAACCCACUGGCCUGUCGGCAUAGAGAAGCCUCUUUCAGAAACCUUCACUGGAGGCCUCUAUGUAUUUAAAAUAUUUGUCUAAUAUAGGCAUUCAGAUCAGCCACAUUUGGAUAUUUUACAGUGUUACUGCUCACAAGAAUUAUUCCAAGGGAAUUACUAUUUUCAAUGUCAUUCUUUGGUUGGUUUGUUAACUAGUGGAAUCACUUAAAACCCGAAUAACCGAUUUACAUCAAACUUUGUGGAGCUGUAGCAUGUGCCAAGGAAGUAACCAUUAAAUGUUGACGUGUGCGGAUGCAAAUAUGAAAGUCUUGUCCAUCGAUUGCUAACACCUGACAUCAGGUGUUUCCUUUAUUCCACUGGCCUGCAGCAAAUUCUAAUAUAAUUUUUAAAAAAUGGUUGCGAUAAAGUUCCAAUGAAAAGAAAGGCAACACAUUGUUUUUCAAAUUAAAAUAAAAAAUGAAAACAAAUGAAUGUUACAAGACAUAACACAUUAUUUGUAAUUCAGUUUUUAAAAUAUAAAAGUGUUUAAUGAGACAUUUACAUACACGAUUUUUGAUUAAAAUUGUACAUAAAUAUGAAUGUUCCCAGAUAUAACACUAUUAUUUUAUUUGUGAAAUAUUUUAGGUUGAAUGUCAUAAUAUCCAGAUAUCACUUACGAGGGCUGUUGGAAACGUUUGUGGCCUAUGGUACAAAGGAAUUUUUUAUGACAAAUUCAAACAUCGACAUUUGCUGUAUUCGCCUGAUUUGACUCUCUCGGGUUGCUAUCUAUUCAGCAAGAUGAAAGAAGAGCUCAGCGGUCAACAUUUCACCACUGAUGAUGACAUCAUUGACAGUGAAGACGAGUAUUGGGGGGGCCGAGACUCAAGCGUCUAUGGAGAGGGGGAUCUGUAAACUCCAUGACCGCUGGAAUAAGUGUGUAAACUUACAAAGGGACUACGUUGAAAAAGGAAUUUUUUUCAAUUUGUCAUGAAAAAAUGUGGACCAUAGGCCACAAACCUUUCAAUCACCCCUCAUAAGUUUAUAAUUUAGUUUGUUUCGAUAACAUUAAUAUAUUCACUAAGUUUUUCUUUUGUCACUGGUAACGCCAAACUGAGAUUUUAGAUUUUGUUUUUCUGUAAAUAUGUUUAAUUGCGUAGGGUACAGUAUGUUACUAAAGCAGAAAUGGAAUGGAUUGAAUUGAAUUUUAGCUUAUUUUAUAAACACAAGGUGAAGUGCUGUGGUGAGCAAAUGGGGGGCCGGAGGGGUGGUGGCCCCAGGAAUCCAGCUCAGGGAGGGCAUCCAAAAUGGAUUGGGUGGGCAUUUAAAAAAAAAAAAAAAAAAAAAAACACCACCACUUUGUACCCCACCUCUCGCCCAAAGUCAAGUGGGAUAGGCUCCAUCCCACCCGCAACCCUCAUGAGGACAAGCGUGAUAGAAUAUUGAUGUAUGGAUAUUAACCUCACGUGGUAAAUGAACUCCCACCACAUACUGUAUAUUGAGAGACUGCUGUGUUGCUUUUCACCAAAUAUUUUAUUAUGAACAUGCUGAAGAAAACACCUGGUUCUUUCCCCCCU